UUUGUUUUCUAAAAAAAAGGCUACGGACACGCCGCACAGGUUCGAAGUUCGCAGGAGUUUAAGGGUACGGUCUUUCGACCUCUUGAUAAUGAUCCAUCCGCAGGUUCACCUACGGAUA
rnacentral:misc_RNA from 1 species